GACGAACGCUGGCGGCGUGCUUAACACAUGCAAGUCGAACGGAAAGGCCCUGCUUUUGUGGGGUGCUCGAGUGGCGAACGGGUGAGUAACACGUGAGUAACCUGCCCUUGACUUUGGGAUAACUUCAGGAAACUGGGGCUAAUACCGGAUAGGAGCUCCUGCUGCAUGGUGGGGGUUGGAAAGUUUCGGCGGUUGGGGAUGGACUCGCGGCUUAUCAGCUUGUUGGUGGGGUAGUGGCUUACCAAGGCUUUGACGGGUAGCCGGCCUGAGAGGGUGACCGGGCACAAUGGGACUGGGGAUACGGCCCGACCUCUACGGGGAGCAGCAGUGGGGAAUUAUUCACCAUGGGCCGAAGCCUUAAGGAGCCACGGCGGGUGCGGGAUGAACGCCCUUGGGGUGGAAACCGCUUUCGGCCUGGACGAAGCCUUAGUGAAGGUAAUGGGUAAAGAAGCACCGGCUAACUACGUG
rnacentral:rRNA from 1 species